rnacentral:rRNA from 1 species
CCUACGGGACCCAGCCUGGGGAAUUUGCGCAAUGGGCGAAAGCCUGACGCAGCGACGCCGCGUGAGGGAUGAAGGUUUUCGGAUCGUAAACCUCUGUCAGAAGGGAAGAAACUACGUUGUGCUAAUCAGCAGCGUACUGGCGGUACCUUCAAAGGAAGCACCGCCUAACUCCGUGCCAGCAGCCGCGGUAAUACGGAGGGUGCAAGCGUUUAUCGGAAUUACUGGGCGUAAAGCGCACGUAGGCUGUAGUGUAAGUCAGGGGUGAAAUCCCACGGCUCAACCGUGGAACUGCCUUUGAUACUGCACAACUUGUAUCCGGGAGAGGAUGGCGAUAUUCCAGGUGUAGGAGUGAAAUCCGUAGAUAUGUGGAGGAACAUCAGUGGCGAAGGCGUCCACCUGGACCGGUAUUGACUCUGAGGUGCGAAAGCGUGGGGCGCACACAGGAUUAGAUACCCUGGUAGUCCUCUCCUGUACGACGAUGGAUGCUAGAUGUCGGGGAGUAUUCUUCGGUGUCGUAGUUAAACGCGAUAGAACUUACCGCU